rnacentral:rRNA from 1 species
AUUGAACGCUGGCGGCAGGCCUAACACAUGCAAGUCGAACGAGUGGCGGACGGGUGAGUAAUGUCUGGGAAUCUGCCCGCUGGAGGGGGAUAACUACUGGAAACGGUGGCUAAUACCGCAUACCAUCGGAUGAGCCCAGAUGGGAUUAGCUAGUAGGUGGGGUAACGGCUCACCUAGGCGACGAUCCCUAGCUGGUCUGAGAGGAUGACCAGCCACACUGGAACUGAGACACGGUCCAGACUCCUACGUGAGGCAGCAGUGGGGAAUAUUGCACAAUGGGCGCAAGCCUGAUGCAGCCAGGCCGCGUGUAUGAAGAAGGCCUUAGGGUUGUAAAGUACUUUCAGCGAGGAGGCGUUACUCGCAGAAGAAGCACCGGCUAACUCCGUGCCAGCAGCCGCGGUAAUAC